rnacentral:rRNA from 1 species
AGUGAACGCUGGCGGCAGGCCUAACACAUGCAAGUCGAACGGCAGCACAAGAGAGCUUGCUCUCUGGGUGGCGAGUGGCGGACGGGUGAGGAAUGCAUCGGAAUCUGCCCAUUUGUGGGGGAUAACCUCGGGAAACCGGGACUAAUACCGCAUACGACCUACGGGUGAAAGCAGGGGAUCUUCGGACCUUGCGCAGAUGGAUGAGCCGAUGCCGGAUUAGCUAGUUGGAGGGGUAAAGGCCCACCAAGGCGACGAUCCGUAGCUGGUCUGAGAGGAUGAUCAGCCACACUGGGACUGAGACACGGCCCAGACUCCUGCGGGAGGCAGCAGUGGGGAAUAUUGGACAAUGGGCGCAAGCCUGAUCCAGCCAUGCCGCGUGUGUGAAGAAGGCCUUCGGGUUGUAAAGCACUUUUGUUGGGAAAGAAAAGCAGCCGGUUAAUACCCGGUUGUCAUGACGGUACCCAAAGAAUAAGCACCGGCUAACUUCGUG